AUACGUAGGGGGCAAGCGUUAUCCGGAUUUACUGGGUGUAAAGGGAGCGUAGACGGCAAAGUAAGUCUGAAGUGAAAGCCCCGGGCUCAACCCGGGAACUGCUUUGGAAACUAUUUAGCUAGAGUGCAGGAGAGGUAAGUGGAAUUCCUAGUGUAGCGGUGAAAUGCGUAGAUAUUAGGAGGAACACCGGCGGCUAAGGGGAAAAACCGGAAUUUAACAAGAGUCAAAGGUCGACAGGGUGGGGCGAAAAGAGAAGUCGAUUCGGUGAUACUGCACGCCGUAAACGCUGAAUACUAGGUGUAGGGGGUAUCGACUCCCUCUGUGCCGCAGUUAACACAAUAAGUAUUCCGCCUGGGGAGUACGGACGCAAGGUUGAAACUUAAAGGAAUUGACGGGG
rnacentral:rRNA from 1 species